ensembl:lncRNA
AUGUACAUGCCUUAUUCCAUUCAAUGUUUUCUUGUGGAACUUAGAAAGUUUCCUUCACAGGUAACGGAAAAAACUUGUUUUUGUUCCAGUGAAGGAAGAAAAAACACAAAGGCUGCCAUUACAGCUGAAGAAACACGAGUUUCUCCAGACAACGUCACUCUCUCUAGGCUCACCUACUGUGUCAUGGCCGGGACAUCUGGAAAGUUGACCUUUUGGAAGGGAAAUAUGAGGUUGGUGGGAUGAUAAGACUGAUAAGAUUGCAGCCAAGUCCAAUCUCUCAUGAAGUGAGACGUUACAUGAUGUUCUGCUGUCAGGCUCGGACACUGGCUAGUACUUUCUGGAUCCCUAGUUUGAGAGUUUUUUUAAUCAUAUCUGCCAAUGUGCAGAGGUGACUGCGUGGAAGUUAAAAAGAAGGGAAGUGUGUCUGCAGGACUGCCCAAAAUGACUCAUAUUCGGAGGGCAAGGAAUGGAAAGACGUGAGAGACAAGCAGAGGAUUUGUAAAUAUUUCAAGUUGUAAAUCAUAUGAUUCAUAAUAAUUUGUUUGUGACUCAUAUUUCCCAACUAUUAUGUAGUCAGCUAUCAUAAUAGAUAUAAAGUGCAACAUUCAACUUUUGAACAGCUUCCUGUCAGAAUGACUCCACCUACCAUGGCCUCUUAUCAGCAGAUCUGGGAUCAUUUUCCCUUUCCACUAUUGAAAUCAUGUCAGAACAGACUCUACAUCACCUCCUCUGGGACCCUUUGUAUUAGUUUUUUAGUGGGGGUAUGACGCUAGGAAUGAUAUAGAUAAGCUGAGAACUUUAUUCUGUUUUGAACCUCUCACUCAUUGCGGUCAUCAUUAAAUGCUCUUGAAUCAGCUGUCUAAUAGCCUAAGGCCUCUGGAGAAUAUUUAGCUGGAUCUUUUUGAAAACGCUGAUGGCCAUACAAGGUGGUGGCUUGGUUGGUUUAGUGUAAACAGUUAGAUGUUAGUGUGUUUCCUUGAUGAAGGACGAUGAGCUGAUUCACGUAAGAAUAGAUGCCUCACAUCCUGUAGUCACAAACGAAGAUCUGUUUGCAUGAGACUUUUCAUAUAAAGGUUAUGUUUAGCAAUAAAAAUAUACUAUGGUGAUCCA